rnacentral:rRNA from 1 species
UACGAAGGGGGCUAGCGUUGUUCGGAAUUACUGGGCGUAAAGCGUGCGCAGGCGGUUUUUCAAGUCAGAGGUGAAAGCCCCGGCCUCAACCCGGGAAUGGCCUUUGAGACUGGAAAGCUAGAGUGUGAGAGAGGUGAGUGGAAUUCCCAGUGUAGAGGUGAAAUUCGUAGAUAUUGGGAAGAACACCCGUGGCGAAGGCGGCUCACUGGCUCGCAACUGACGCUCAGGCACGACAGCGUGGGGAGCAAACAGG